UACGUAGGGUGCGAGCGUUAAUCGGAAUUACUGGGCGUAAAGCGUGCGCAGGCGGUUUUGUAAGUCAGAUGUGAAAUCCCCGGGCUUAACCUGGGAAUGGCAUUUGGGACUGCAAGGCUGGAGUGUGGCAGAGGAGACUGGAAUUCCUGGUGUAGCAGUGAAAUGCGUAGAUAUCAGGAGGAAUACCGAUGGCGAAGGCAGGUCUCUGGGCUGACACUGACGCUCAUGCACGAAAGCGUGGGGAGCAAACAGG
rnacentral:rRNA from 1 species